rnacentral:rRNA from 1 species
AACGAACGCUGGCGGCAUGCCUAACACAUGCAAGUCGAACGAGACCUUCGGGUCUAGUGGCGCACGGGUGCGUAACGCGUGGGAACCUGCCCUUAGGUUCGGAAUAACUCCCCGAAAGGGGUGCUAAUACCGGAUAAUGUCUUCGGACCAAAGAUUUAUCGCCUUUGGAUGGGCCCGCGUUGGAUUAGCCAGUUGGUAGGGUAAAAGCCUACCAAGGCGACGAUCCAUAGCUGGUCUGAGAGGAUGAUCAGCCACACUGGGACUGAGACACGGCCCAGACUCCUACGGGAGGCAGCAGUAGGGAAUAUUGGACGAUGGGCGAAAGCCUGAUCUAGCAAUGCCGCGUGAGUGGUGAAGGCCUUAGGGUUGUAAAGCUCUUUUACCCGGGAUGAUAAUGACAGUACCGGGAGAAUAAGCUCCGGCUAACUCCGUG